rnacentral:lncRNA from 1 species
GCUGAGUGCAGACAGGACACCACAUCAUCUGGGACAAGAGAGCAGACUGCUAUGACAGGUUGGUCUCAGGCCGACAGGACCCAGCCUGGGCCUGACCCACUGAGCAAAGGCAAAACAACCAGAGAGAGGAAGCCUGGAUGACUUGGUUACUGCCACCUGAUGCUCUUGCGUCUGUGCCACAGGUCAGAUUCCCGCAGGAGGCCAGCUCCUUAACAGCUUCCGGUUCCUCCUGGAGUAGUGUUCCUACUUACCACUAG